AGUGAACGCUGGCGGUAGGCCUAACACAUGCAAGUCGAACGGCAGCACAGUAAGAGCUUGCUCUUACGGGUGGCGAGUGGCGGACGGGUGAGGAAUACAUCGGAAUCUACUUUUUCGUGGGGGAUAACGUAGGGAAACUUACGCUAAUACCGCAUACGACCUACGGGUGAAAGCAGGGGAUCUUCGGACCUUGCGCGAUUGAAUGAGCCGAUGUCGGAUUAGCUAGUUGGCGGGGUAAAGGCCCACCAAGGCGACGAUCCGUAGCUGGUCUGAGAGGAUGAUCGGCACAACGGAAACGAAGACACGGUCCAGACUCCAAGGGAGGGAAGCGGUGGGGAUAAUGGGAAAAGGGGGGAAGGCCGAACCAGGCAAAACGGGGGGGGUAAGGAGGCCCUUCGGGUGUAAAGCCCUUUUGUUGGGAAAGAAAAGCAGCAGGUUAAUACCCCGCUGUUCUGACGGUACCCAAAGAAUAAGCACCGGCUAACUUCGUG
rnacentral:rRNA from 1 species